ACUCACUGGUACACGUACGAUCACCGAAGUUAAGCAACGUCGAGUUUGGUCAGUACCUAGAUGGGUGACCGUUUGGGAAUACCAGGUACUGUAA